GCCAGGCACGGUGGCUCCUGCCUGUAGUCCCAGCUACUCAGGAGGCUGAAGUGGGAGGACUGCUUGAGCCCAGGAGUUCUGGGCUGUAGUGUGCUAUGCCGAUCGGGUGUCUGCACUAAGUUCGGCAUCAACAUGGUGACCUCCUGGGAGCCGGGGACCACCAGGUUGCCUAAGGAGGGGUGAAUCGGCCCAGGUCGGAAACGGAGCAGGUCAAAACUCCAGUGCUGAUCAGUAGUGGGAUCGCGCCUGUGAAUAGCCACUGGGCAACAUAGCGAGACCCUAUCUCU
rnacentral:SRP_RNA from 1 species